CCUACGGGAGGCAGCAGUGAGGAAUAUUGGUCAAUGGCCGGAAGGCUGAACCAGCCAUGCCGCGUGAAGGUCAGUGCCCUAUGGGCGUUAAACUUCUUUUGUGCGGGAGCAAUAAUGGUCACGUGUGGCCAGACGAGAGUACCGUACGAAUAAGCAUCGGCUAACUCCGUGCCAGCAGCCGCGGUAAUACGGGGGAUGCAAGCGUUAUCCGGAAUUAUUGGGUUGAAAGGGUGCGUAGGCUGUGAGGUAAGGCAGCGGGGAAAUGCCCCCGCACAACGGGGUGAAGUGCCAUUGAUACUGCCUUGCUGGAAUGCGGAUGCCGUGGGAGGAAUGUGUGGUGUAGCGGUGAAAUGCAUAGAUAUCACACAGAACACCGAUUGCGAAGGCAUCUCACGAAUCCGCGAUUGACGCUGAUGCACGAAGGCGUGGGUAUCAAACAGGAUUAGAUACCCGAGUAGUC
rnacentral:rRNA from 1 species